rnacentral:rRNA from 1 species
GACGAACGCUGGCGGCGUGCUUAACACAUGCAAGUCGAACGGAAAGGCCCUGCUUUUGUGGGGUGCUCGAGUGGCGAACGGGUGAGUAACACGUGAGUAACCUGCCCUUGACUUUGGGAUAACUUCAGGAAACUGGGGCUAAUACCGGAUAGGAGCUCCUGCUGCAUGGUGGGGGUUGGAAAGUUUCGGCGGUUGGGGAUGGACUCGCGGCUUAUCAGCUUGUUGGUGGGGUAGUGGCUUACCAAGGCUUUGACGGGUAGCCGGCCUGAGAGGGUGACCGGCCACAUUGGGACUGAGAUACGGCCCAGACUCCUACGGGAGGCAGCAGUGGGGAAUAUUGCACAAUGGGCGGAAGCCUGAUGCAGCAACGCCGCGUGCGGGAUGACGGCCUUCGGGUUGUAAACCGCUUUCGCCUGUGACGAAGCGUGAGUGACGGUAAUGGGUAAAGAAGCACCGGCUAACUACGUGCCAGCAGCCGCGGUGAUACGUAGGGUGCGAGCGUUGUCCGGAUUUAUUGGGCGUAAAGGGCUCGUAGGUGGUUGAUCGCGUCGGAAGUGUAAUCUUGGGGCUUAACCCUGAGCGUGCUUUCGAUACGGGUUGACUUGAGGAAGGUAGGGGAGAAUGGAAUUCCUGGUGGAGCGGUGGAAUGCGCAGAUAUCAGGAGGAACACCAGUGGCGAAGGCGGUUCUCUGGGCCUUUCCUGACGCUGAGGAGCGAAAGCGUGGGGAGCGAACAGGCUUAGAUACCCUGGUAGUCCACGCUGUAAACGGUGGGUACUAGGUGUGGGGUCCAUUCCACGGGUUCCGUGCCGUAGCUAACGCUUUAAGUACCCCGCCUGGGGAGUACGGCCGCAAGGCUAAAACUCAAAGGAAUUGACGGGGCCCCGCACAAGCGGCGGAGCAUGCGGAUUAAUUCGAUGCAACGCGUAGAACCUUACCUGGGUUUGACAUGGAUCGGGAGUGCUCAGAGAUGGGUGUGCCUCUUUUGGGGUCGGUUCACAGGUGGUGCAUGGCUGUCGUCAGCUCGUGUCGUGAGAUGUUGGGUUAAGUCCCGCAACGAGCGCAACCCUUGUUCACUGUUGCCAGCACGUUAUGGUGGGGACUCAGUGGAGACCGCCGGGGUCAACUCGGAGGAAGGUGGGGAUGACGUCAAGUCAUCAUGCUCCUUAUGUCCAGGGCUUCACGCAUGCUACAAUGGCUGGUACAGAGAGUGGCGAGCCUGUGAGGGUGAGCGAAUCUCGGAAAGCCGGUCUCAGUUCGGAUUGGGGUCUGCAACUCGACCUCAUGAAGUCGGAGUCGCUAGUAAUCGCAGAUCAGCAACGCUGCGGUGAAUACGUUUCCGGGGCU